rnacentral:misc_RNA from 1 species
GAAAUGCGAUACGCAAUGCGAAUUGCAGAAUUCCGCGAAUCAUCAGAUUCUUGAACGCAACUGGCGCUGGAGGGAUAUCCUUCCAGCAUGUCUGUUUCAGUGUCUGAAAACAUCCUAUAUUAUUCUAAUGUGUUUGACAAGGAGUAGUUCAUUUUUAUAAAAUGAAUUAUACAAAAUAUUAUCCAAGUCUUACAUGAAAGAUGUAUGUGUGGGUCUUUGGAUCCAUCGAAUUGGUCAUCGAUUUCUUCGGUGAUUUCGAUUGGAUGUCACCAAUUAUCCGUAUACACAUAGAAUCUAUAUAUACUUAUAUACUACUUUAUCAUCUGCAUCUGAAAUCAGGCAAGAAAACCCGCUGAACUUAAGC